UUAUGAAUAAAAAUAAUCAUUAUACAAAAUGUUGAAUUUAUCACAGACCAAAAAUUUUAAUAUAUUGUUAUCAACGAAACAAAGAAAAAUUAACAGUAACAUAUGACUUUUUUUUUUGUCGCUUACAGUCGAAACGGGAAACAGAUUAAAAACUUAAACACUAAAAGGUACGCAUCAUAGUCUCAUAUUAAUGACGAUUAUUAGGUACUAAAUUUCAUUGAAAAGUAUAAAUCUUCCCGUUUGACAUACAGUACUAGCUACUAAAACACUAUAAACUGUCUUAGCCAAUAUUAUAACGAAUAAUUG